CACGGGGGGAGCAAGCGUUGUUCGGAUUCACUGGGCGUAAAGGGUGCGCAGGCGGCCAUGUGUGUGAGGCGUGAAAGCCCGGGGCUUAACCCCGGAAUUGCACCUCAAACUACAUGGCUAGAGCAUUGGAGAGGGUAGCAGAAUUCAUGGUGUAGCAGUGAAAUGCGUAGAUAUCAUGAGGAAUACCAAAGGCGAAGGCGGCUACCUGGACAAUUGCUGACGCUCAGGCACGAAAGCGUGGGGAGCAAAAGGG
rnacentral:rRNA from 1 species